rnacentral:rRNA from 1 species
UACGUAGGGUGCGAGCGUUAAUCGGAAUUACUGGGCGUAAAGCGUGCGCAGGCGGUUUUGUAAGUCCGGUGUGAAAUCCCCGGGCUUAACCUGGGAACUGCGUUUGAAACUACAAGGCUAGAGUGUGGCAGAGGGGGGUGGAAUUCCACGUGUAGCAGUGAAAUGCGUAGAGAUGUGGAGGAACACCGAUGGCGAAGGCAGCCCCCUGGGCCUGCACUGACGCUCAUGCACGAAAGCGUGGGGAGCAAACAGG